AUACGUAGGGUGCAAGCGUUAAUCGGAAUUACUGGGCGUAAAGCGUGCGCAGGCGGUUUUGUAAGACAGUGGUGAAAUCCCCGGGCUCAACCUGGGAACUGCCAUUGUGACUGCAAGGCUGGAGUGCGGCAGAGGGGGAUGGAAUUCCGCGUGUAGCAGUGAAAUGCGUAGAUAUGCGGAGGAACACCGAUGGCGAAGGCAAUCCCCUGGGCCUGCACUGACGCUCAUGCACGAAAGCGUGGGGAGCAAACAGGAUUAGAUACCCUGGUAGUCCACGCCCUAAACGAUGUCGACUGGUUGUUGGGGAUUUAUUUUCUCAGUAACGAAGCUAACGCGUGAAGUUGACCGCCUGGGGAGUACGGCCGCAAGGUUAAAACUCAAAGGAAUUGACGGGG
rnacentral:rRNA from 1 species